CCCAGGGAAUACAGUACGAGUUGGCCCUCCAACAGAUCUGUUACAGAUUCAUUCCAAGCAGAGAGAGAGAGCGAGAAAGAGAGAGACACACAGACGGAAGCGAGAGAGUGAAGCGAGAGAGUGAAGCGAGAGAGAGUGAGGCGAGUGAGUGAGAGAGAAGCAAGAGAGAGAGAGAGAGAGAGAGAGAGCAGGGGAGCACAAAAGAGAGAGGAACCAAGCUCUGAACUGACCCCAGACCUGCAAAUAUGGAUGUAUCAUCACUGACCACGGGCCAAAAGCAACAGAAACCAGAGAAGAGGCGAUUCUUCAAGAAAACAAAUAGAGAAACAAAUACUGGAUUAUCCGGCUGUGAAGGAAGGCUACUGAUUCGCCCACAGAGAGCUUCGUCGGGAGUUCACCAAAUUCCCACCGGAUGACAGACGGAACACGCAUGCACAGCCAGGGAAAAGUUGCCCCUUGAUGACAUGGCAGAGUGUUACUCUAACGUCCUUGCCUGUUCAUGUAUGGUUUUACGGUUAGCCCUUAGCCUGUACAUGUAUGGUUUUACGGUUAGCCCUUAGCCUGUACAUGUAUGGUUUUACGGUUAGCCCUUAGCCUGUACAUGUAUUGUUUUACGGUUAGCCCUUAGCCUGUUCAUGUAUGGUUUUACGGUUAGCCCUUAGCCUGUACAUGUAUGGUUUUACGGUUAGCCCUUAGCCUGUUCAUGUAUGGUUUUACGGUUAGCCCUUAGCCUGUACAUGUAUGGUUUUACGGUUAGCCCUUAGCCUGUACAUGUAUGGUUUUACAGUUAGCCCUUAGCCUGUACAUGUAUGGUUUUACGGUUAGCCCUUAGCCUGUUCAUGUAUGGUUUUACGGUUAGCCUUUAGCCUGUUCAUGUAGGGUUUUACGGUUAGCCCUUAGCCUGUUCAUGUAUGGUUUUACGGUUAGCCCUUAGCCUGUUCAUGUAUGGUUUUACAGUUAGCCCUUAGCCUGUUCAUGUAUGGUUUUACGGUCAGCCCUUAGCCUGUACAUGUAUGGUUUUACGGUUAGCCCUUAGCCUGUACAUGUAUGGUUUUACGGUUAGCCCUUAGCCUGUACAUGUAUGGUUUUACAGUUAGCCCUUAGCCUGUUCAUGUAUGGUUUUACAGUUAGCCCUUAGCCUGUACAUGUAUGGUUUUACGGUUAGCCCUUAGCCUGUUCAUGUAUGGUUUUACGGUUAGCCUUUAGCCUGUUCAUGUAGGGUUUUACGGUUAGCCCUUAGCCUGUUCAUGUAUGGUUUUACGGUUAGCCCUUAGCCUGUUCAUGUAUGGUUUUACAGUUAGCCCUUAGCCUGUACAUGUAUGGUUUUACGGUUAGCCCUUAGCCUGUACAUGUAUGGUUUUACGGUUAGCCCUUAGCCUGUACAUGUAUGGUUUUACAGUUAGCCCUUAGCCUGUUCAUGUAUGGUUUUACAGUUAGCCCUUAGCCUGUUCAUGUAUGGUUUUACGGUUAGCCCUUAGCCUGUUCAUGUAUGGUUUUACGGUUAGCCCUUAGCCUGUUCAUGUAUGGUUUUACAGUUAGCCCUUAGCCUGUACAUGUGGCCAUCAUCCAGUCAACUUUACCCAUUGAUGCUGUUAGUAAUUACAGUCUUUAAACUGCAGCAUCCUGCCCACCUUUGGACCAACCAACCAACACACCUACCAACCUAAGUCUCCAGUGGCUACCUCCGUCUCAUUAGCUUCCCCUCAUCCCUUCAUCUGCCUCAAGACAUCUGCCUCAAUACCACUGGCCGUGUUUCCAGGAGAUUGCCAUUCCCCCUGUCUGUAUUGAUUGUACACAUUGUACUGUAUGUGACUAUAGCUGGGUACAAGUUGUCAGAGAGCGAGUUUAAGGGAAAUAAACAGUGUUCAGGUGGUAU